rnacentral:rRNA from 1 species
CAUCGAAGGCUAAAUAGCGGCUGGAGACCGAUAGCGAACAAGUACCGUGAGGGAAAGAUGACAAGCACUUUGAAAAGAGGGUGAAAAGAGCCUGAAACCGUCACGGGGGAAGCGGAUCGCGUUGGAUCGGUGGGCGCUCGUGUGUUCAGCCUUCGGGUGCAUUGGCACGAGUGCUUAUCCGCUGUGAGUUUUCGGGGAUCGAUUUUGGAUCCCUGGAGGCUGAGGGCUCCCUUUUUGAGGUGAGGACAGCGGAGUAACGACGCGAUACGACCCGUCUUGAAACACGGACCAAGGAGUCUAGCGCGGGUGCGAGUCGGAGGGUGCAAGCCCGUGGGCGAAGUGAAAGCGAGUGUAAAAACGAGCAGUUUGGGGCGGCAUAAGAUCGUUGAUCUUAAGACCGACCCAGAGCAGUUGCGCUGGGACCCGAAAGAUGGUGAACUAUGCCGGAGUAGGGCAAAGCCAGAGGAAACUCUGGUGGAGGCUCGUAGCGGUGCUGACGUGCAAAUCGCUCGUCGAACUUGGGUAUAGGGGCGAAAGACUAAUCGAACCAUCUAGUAGCUGGUUCCCUCCGAAGUUUCUCUCAGGAUAGCUGGCCGACAAGUUGUUUUGUGCGGUAAAGCGAAUGAUUAGCGCAAUCGGGGACGUUUAGUCUUCGGGCGAUUCUCAAACUUUCAAUGCGCAAGGGUGCCGCUGCUUAAUUGAGCGGUACCGGCAAAAACGUCGGCCAUGUGGGCCACUUUUGGUA